GUCUGACGAAAAUAAGCAAACUAUAAAAAGGCAGAGCCGAACAUGGAGCCUUUAGAUAGUCUCAACCGAGCAGUGAUGGAAAGAUGGAUCUGGGGACGACAGAGCUCACAGGCAGAGGACAAAAUAAGCAGCCAAGUAACAGCCGUUCAGCACAACGCGUUUUAGGCAAGGAUCCCCACUCCCACACCCCCAGCACACAGUGAUGGAUCUGGGAAAGCAGGAAGGGCCCAGAGUGGCUGCAGAGACUGCAGGCUGUGCAGUGGAGGGGAGAGGGGAGACUUGCAGGGUCUGCCAAGCUGAAUGCGGGCAGGGAAGGAGGAGGCCUGGUGGCUGGCUGAGAAGCUCCACGUGCUGAACAGAGAAUACGGGCACACCAUAGGCUUACGGCCCCGGCAACAGAGAUACAGAAGCAAGCAUGGGCAGAGUGUGCUGUGCAGAAGCAAGAGGCUCAGCAGAAGCGCUAAGAACAAGUUAAACAUAACUACCCUCAAAAACCGGACCCAAGUGCCACUUCUUUCUCGGAAGCUCCUCUGACCAUGCCCAUCUGAGCAAUCUCUUGGCCACACCCCGACUGCAGGACUUCUGUCACCCAGCUUUGCACUGGUGCACAUCUUGGAACCUGUAUCUGCUACUUAGCCUGUGAGGCUCUGGAAUAAAGAGAUGCAUAAAGAAGGUCCCUAUCAUUACCAGGUUUCCUGUAGCCAUAACACCUCAGUGUGUGCUAUGCACCUUACAGUGAGAAGGGAGCUAGCUGGACGCUCUGCAGAAGAGGCUCUAUCUAAUGGGCACCGUGGAGGACGUUAAUCAGGGAAAGAAGGGAGGGAAGGAGAACAUGUGAGUGAGAGCAUGGAGAUAUUCAUUCUCUCUCUCUCUCUCUCUCUCUCUCUCUCUCUCUCUCUCUCUCUCUCCCUCUCCCUCUCCCUCCCUCUCUCUCUCUCUCUGGAGGACAGAAAGCUAGAGAAGGAAGGGCGUUUAAGACUGAAUAACAUGCAACCUGUGUGUAUCCAGGCCUUAUAUAUAAAGCAAAGCGUACGUGGGGUCCCUGGCAUUCUGCUUGAGCUUCAACUUUCCACUUUGCGAUUUAUCUCUGUAUGGAGCUCACGGUGCAUACAGUACCGUGUACCUGGGGCUUUCAAUACGGCUGUUCCGAUUUGAGAUAUGGCAAUCCUAAGACAUGCUAGAUGUAAAGGAAGCUAAAAUAUUGUAUUAGUCAUUGUAAGGGUCUAGAGCAAAGACUCAGUGGUUAAGAGCACUUGUUGCCCUUUCAGAGGACUGGGUUUGGUUCCUAGUAUUUACAUGGCCGCUUAGAACACCUCAACUCCAGUUGCAGGGGACCCAUUGCCCUCUUCUGGCCUCUCUGCAGGAACCAGGACAUGUGGUGCACAUAAGUAUGCAUACAGCCAUGUAAAUAAAGAAAUCUUAAAAAAAUAAUUUUAAAGUAGUGAGUAUAUGUUGGUAUUAUCUUAGCUAGAUAAUUUGCAUCUUACUUGAGUUAAAUCAAAUAUGUUAUUAAAAAUGAACUUACCUGUUUCCUUUCGCCUGAUAAAAUGCAGCUGCCAGAAAACUGCUGCUUGCCUUUGCUGCUCAUGCUGGUUACUCAGGCCUGACACAGACACAGGGGCCUUGACAACUGGCUGUCCUGACAGUGUUCCCAUCUCAGUAUUUGGUGGCUACUUUUCAUACCGUCUACAUUUUAUUGAGUAGAUAUUACUUUAUAAUCAGGAGGAGCAAACAGAAAUUAGACAUAAACAUGCAAAGCAAACAUCUUCAAUCUGGAUCAGACUUGCAGGCGGAGGAGAAGGCAGCCCCAGUGAACAAAAAACUGUCACUGGCAGAGGUCUGCGCACAGAGGAUGCUGGACAGCUGUUCUCCAUCCUGACUGAAGACAGAAGAAAGCGGAAAUGGGUGUUAACCGCAGGAGGGGGGCUGUGAGUUAAAUAUAGGGAAGAAUUUCCUGAAGUGAGGGUGUUUAAACUCUGGAAUGAGUUAUGGAAGGAGCCUGUCUCCCCAACCCCCCCCCCCAAGGUCUUUUAAAGUCCCACAGAUGCCCAUAUGCCUUGUGUGUUCCAGUCCAGGGGUAGGGAGAUGGCCCAUCAAGGCUAUCUCAAGAGUAAAGAACUCCAGUAAAACUUCCUCUCUCAUUACCUUUCCACAGGGCUCCACCCUUUGUAUUAGGAUGCCAGCCCAAGAGCCAUACUCUCAAAAGCAGGCCGUGUGACACUUAAGUAGUACUCUUGAGACUUCAAAGACAAUGUCACUUGAUCUAAAUUUAAAGACUAUCAUCAGCUAGCUGUGGUUUUAAGUCCCUUGGAGGUCACCUGCCAGAGCCCCUGCUCUGAAUCUGGCACAGGCAUGACUAAGGGAAAGGAUGAGGGAAGAUGUCUGUAAGAUGGGAGGACUUCCAAGCUCUGACUGCUGUUGCGUAGUGGUGAUUUUGAAUGCACUGUUGCUUACUGUAGACAGACGUUUACUGAAACAGCUGAGCCUAUGUGUGCCAACCUGUCAUCCCAGCCCUUGAGUGGGAGGCGGGGGGCCAAGAGUUUAAGGCCGGCUUUGGCUACACCAGACCUGUAUCAAACAACAAACAAAUGCCCACCCUAAGUUCCAGAGUUCUUGGGUAAGGACCUUUUCCUACUAUUUCUACUUAAAGCUGUUGAGCUCGAUUCUCUUUCUUUGUAAAGGAAAAGAAGACUGUAGCAUGUGGGAGCAGGGAGGAUGAGGAGCAGGGAGGAUGAGGAGCAGGGAGGAUGAGGAGCAGGGAGGAUGAGGAGCAGGGAAGAUGAGGAGCAGGGAGGAUGCAGAGCAUGUGCAGCAAGGGUCUGGAGAGUCUGCCAGUGAAGAGAAGAGCCCCUUACCUACCGAGUCACAGCUACUGUGAGAGAUUACUGUGUGAGAAUGUCCUGCAAGGCAUGCCCUUCAAAACAUUCAAUCUGUCACAGCUACUUCAGACUAGAAGCUAAACCAAUGUGAACUAGGCCCAGACAGCAUGAACUUUGUUUUUAAAAUCUCCUUCAUCUCUUGCACUGCACAAGAUGCAUAGGAGAAACUUGAGUUGUUAAAUGCAUGAAAAUUUACUCCAUUGGGUUUAAAAAAAUUUUUUUUUACUCCAUUGUUUUUUAAGAUUUAAUUCUGUGUAUAUGUGCAUAAGUGAGUGCAGUACCUACAGAGGCCAGAAGAGGGCAUCGGACCCCCCCUGGAGUUGGCUGGAGUUAACUGACACCUGUGAGUUGCCCAGUUUAGGUGCUGGCAGCUUUGCUUGGGACUUUUGGAAGAGUGGCAAACCCUCUUCACUCCUGAGCCAUCUCUCUAGCCCAAUUUAUGGUUUUAUAUAGUUCUUUUUGGUUUAUAACCCCUUUGGCAGAUAUAUCUCAUUUGUUCUACAUAUCUAUGCUUGGGAAACAGGACUGGUUCUAUUAAUAUCAAUAAAAAUAACUUGAUAUUUAAAAAAUAAUUUAUGAAAUUUAAGUGAUACAGCAGAAACUGACAUCCAUGCCUUUUGACCCCCAAGCUGGGUUCUUUCUCUGCUGUAUCACAUUCUCUUGCAUGAAGGUAAUGGUGAAUUUAUGCUUUAAAUUGGGCAGAAAAAGUAAAAUUUAGAAUAAAAAUUUCCUUUAUAAAGCACAACAGAGGGCUUUGAAAUCAUGUUUUUGUCAAGUGUUCACGGAAGACAAAGACUGCAGGCGAGUACGCUCUGCACCCUGGGUUCUCUUCCUGCUUCUUAGCUACAGAGCAGGGACUGAACAGAGGCCGGAUUCCAGCAUUCCAGUUCUCAUGGGUUUUACAAAGCUUAUGAGGUACCUGGGUAAGCUUCCCUCAGAACACUGCCAGCCUUGCCAUGUAUCAUUCUACAAGACUCUGGAUUUGACUUUGGGGGUGCCCUCAGGAAGGUAACAGGUGUCAGGACAAUGGUGCCCAGUAUCAGAGGGAUGUAGAGGCAGGGAAGGCACAGAGGAGACAUUAGCACGCAUGUGACAAGAACUGUCCUCUGUGGCUGUCAUGUGAUUUGGUCAAGUCAACCGUAAGCCUCAGUUUUGAGCUGUGAACCACGAUCGAGCCCUCGGCUCUCUCAGGACACAUACAGAAAGGUUUUUAAGUAAAUGGAUUUUUAAUAAUAAGAAUGUAGAAGCUACCAAUAUGUGCAGGUAAACAGAUUGUAGAGUGCUUUUCUCUGGGUCUGCAGAAAGGUUUAGUUAAAGUUAACAUUUUAUACCAUUAGUGUUUAAGAGAGUAAGCCACUGCAUCAAACACAAGAACCACAUGAAUACCUAUUUGUAAGCUAAAAAACCAAAAUACCUGUAACAAAGAAUGAAUAAUUUUUAAAAACAGAUUCUAUAACUAUGACCUGCUACUCAUUAUCCAUUCACACUAACUGCUAAGUGAGGCAUGCAGGGCCUUUAUUUAAAUCUCAAUGGCACCACCAUCAGCCAGGUCCUGUCACCCUCAGUUCUGCCCAGAGACUGAGGUCAGAGGCGUUAGCAUCAAACAGUCCGUGCUCUUUCCGUUGACUUGACUCUUACGCCACUUUGUAGUGGGAAGAGAACAGGAGAAAGGAAUGACUUUAACAGAAUAGGCAGGGUGACUUUAAGCAGAGCAUUUGGGGAUGGGGCUCUAAGCUGAAAUUCUGCUCGACAAACUGGCAUCACCUGGCAGCUCUAGCUGGGUUCCUGACACUAGGAUGGGAAAGCAGGGGUCAUCUGGGAAAGAGCUGUCAAAAACCAGUGAGAGCCACCCCCACACCACAGUGUGCAUGAAGACAAAGGGCCACUUUAGAACUGCUCAGGUGGAGGGUGACAAUAUUAGUUAAGAAUUUUGUAAUAUACAAGAAAAGUUACUUCAUUAAAAGAGCCUUUAUCACUGUCCUUUCUUUACAAAAUCAAACAAAAUAAGCUGUCAUAUAACCUGGAUGUUUCCCCAAGGAAUUCGAUGCACCCAUGGAUCCUCCCUCCGCCAGCCUGCAAUCCUCAACUCCAGCAGGCCAGACAGCAGCACCUCCAUAGGACCUGUCUGCCAGUGGAAACCACUGCACAAGAUGCUAAGUCUCCCCUGGGAGCUGAGACAUUAAGAGUCUCUCCAAGGAGGAGCUGAGUUUGUUUGGCCUUUGCCCUAAGGAGCACAAGCUGGGGUAGGGUAGGGACCCCCAGUCUACAGAGGCUUAGGGAAAUUCUCGGAUUUCUUGAGGCUGAAACAGCUUGCUCCAGCUUUGUUUAGGCUUGUGGAGCCUGGCCUCCUGCGGUGGUCUUGACUUGGAAUUAUUGGGAGCACUCACUUUCCCAGUACUGUGUCUUGAAAACAGUGGCCCAGUUUUCAUGAGAGACCAGAAAGUGGCCAUUACUGCAUGCUCCUGUUAACGCACCUCGAUGGCUGGCACGGAUGGGCACCGUGUAAACAUUACGUUCAGGGCUUAAUGGUUUUGCUAUGCCAGUGCCAGGAGACCGAGAUUCCCCUUUAUUGCUGCAGGGUCACAGGUCAGUGGCACUCACAGUCAUUUCAUUUCUCUGUGCCUUACUUAGAACGAGUUGCUGAAAAGACUGUUGCAAGUGGGGAAGGGCAGGAGAAGGGCUUGAGGUGAGUGAGUAUUUUGCGUAGCUUGUCUGUAAGCCUCUCAGAAGGCCCUACUAUCUACAGCUGCAAUAACUUGCUGUGCUCUUUCUGUGUCUCUGUCUUUCUCUGUGUCUCUGUCUCUCACACAGACACACAGACACACAGACACACACACACACACACACACACACACACACACACCCGGAGAAUGGGACAAGUAGAACCAGGGAGGUGAGCUGCGCCAAUCCUGCUGUUUGGAUAAGAAAAGCCGGUGGCUAAGACAGGAUGAGUAAGAGGGGUGGGGAGAGGAAGGCAGGAGUCAGAGGCUACACACACACUGACCAGGAUAAUUCAGGACAGUGACCUUUGAGGGUGGGACAGAGCUUAGUAGGCACAUUGAUAGAACACAGAAUCAGAUCAGAGUGAGUUUAGCAAGGACAUAAAUACUACAGAACACAACCAGUCCUGAAAUCAUUAGACAUCAAAGCAGCGCUCCCCCGAUGAGCAAACUCCACUGAGCUUCUGCUUACUUCUGUCAGACUGUUAAGACACGCCCUAUCCCAGAAGAACUGCUCCAAAGAGCAGGAGGAGGAAAGGUCAUCAUGGGUCCUCAUUCUAGUGGGAGGCUCUUACAAAACCAAAACCAGACACGGGAGAUUCUUUUUCUUUUUUUGAGACAAGGUCUCAUGUAGAUGAAACCGGCCUCACUUUUUGGCUGAGGAAGAUCUUCGACUUCCAAUUCUCUCUCUGCCUUUACUCCUCAGUGCUGAGGUUACAGGCAUACGCCGUGACAUUUGGCAAUCACACAUUUGAGAGAGCCACCUGGGAUAUAUGAAACUCGAGGAAGGACUGCUUCGCUUUACUCUCAUGGUGAAUGACAGUGGAAUCCUGACCUGCCUCCAUCUCAUUUCUCAAGAGCUGGGAUCACAGGCUCGUGCCAUCACACCCAGCAUGAGAUGCCAUCUUUAUAAUUGGGUCCGUCUUCACGGCACAAGAGAGAAUGAAGCUGAUACUAGACUUCCCACCUCGAACCUCAUCCUCACAGCAAACUGCUAAGGAUUAACUGCAGAGGUCAACAUGAGGAAAUCAAGUUUCAGAGAGGCCGGACUUCAAGCCCACACAUUAUACAAGAACAUCUGGGCUCAGAAGCCAGAGCGACUUCUCAGAGACUGGCCACUGCCAGCUACCACCUUCUCAGGCUGAUUCCCACUUACAAGAUUUGCUAAGUCACCACCCACGCUCCAGGACACAAGCCUCGGGAUCCCUGAAUGGCGCGAGCACAGACUUUCCACUUCCUCAAGUCAUGUGAUUCACUUAAUGCUAAGGCUGUAAUCAGCAGCCCGCCUGCACGGGACAGCUCGUGGUGACCAAACAUGAGGUACAUUUUAGUAGCAACCCUGGGGCUCAGACUCUAACUCUGGCUGCUGGUCCUGGGGCUCCCGUUCUUUGCUUGUUCUUCUAGGAGUCAGACCGGCCUCACCUGCCUCAGUAGCACACUCUAGGGCUCCAUUAGUACUUGCCUCUCACCCAGAGGGUGCUCUGCUGCCUUAGCCAGAGCAGAGGUUACGUUACACGUUGAGAUGGCUGCCUUUUUAUCUCUUUGGCUAUCUCACGGCAGCAGAAAGCCGAGCAGGCAGGCACAGAGCAAUGUGGGGGUCCGGCAAGCUUGGCAGGCGUGUUACCCACACCCGUGCUGUGGGAGUCAGGCAAGCAGAUACUCACCACCUGACCAUCAGUCCGUGCUCCAUGAAGUUUUUCAGGUUAGGAAGAGUUUGCCUCAAGUCUGGAGUCCCCAGGCCAUGCUGGUAUCUCAGCUGCAACGAAAGAACGGAAUUGAAAGAUGUUUUGGCAGAUGCUAGGCAAUGCUCAGGACGGUGAACUCCUGAACGAGCAAACAUUUAAGUGUACAAAGGCCACACCAACUACAGCCGAGGCACAGCAUUUAAUGGCUCUUCUUUACCAUCACCUUACACCUUGAACUUGAAAACAAUAUGGCCAACCUUAGGCCUUCACCUACUCUUUUCCACUCCCAGAUCUUGGUAAGUGUUUCUAACACCAUAGACAUAACUCAUAGGAAAUCUUCUAUUUAAAUCAGAAAAAGAUUAAUUUAUUCUUAUUGUAUGUGUAUGACUAUAUUGCCUGCACAUAUAUAGGUGUGCCAUGCGUGGCCUGGGCCCACAGAAGCCAGAAGAAGGGUAUAGGAACUUUUGGAACUGCAGUUAGAGGGGGUUGUGAGCCACCAUGUGGGUGCUGGAAACUGAACCUGGGUCCUUGGCAAGAGCAGUAAGUACUCUUAACCAGAGAACCACCUUCCCACCCCUCUUACUUUUAAUUUUGUGUAAAGUGGUAUUUCUGUGUAUGUUUGCAUAAGUGUAGUUGGGAGAGGAUUUGGGUCCCUAGGAGCCACCCUACAUGGGUGCUGAGACUCACACCCUGGUCUUUGCAAGAGCACUGCUACUCCUGAGCACUGAACCAUUUUCUCUCCAGUCCCUCAAAAAAAAAAUCAAAUGACAGGUAUUAGUGUCGCUGUUGACGGGAGCCGCACUCUAGGUUUCUCUACAACGCUCACUGUGUUUUGUGUGUGAGCGUGAGCGAGGGGGGGGGCUCUUGAGGUUUUAUUGCUAGCAGCACAAAAAUAAAAGAAAGAAAAAGUGAAUUUAAGAGUUAGGUAAAACUUUACCAAAAGAUUAAUUUAAUCCAUGAUCAUCCAGCACUCAGUUGAUUUUCUGAGUAAUACUUAAAACAGUUUACUCUCUAGAACUGAGACUCUAAAGGAGACUCCUGUAACACAAGUGAGCGUCUAGGAUGUUCUGAGUGAAUACAUCCAUCAAAUAAGAAGGCAGAAACAUGCUGUUAGAACUAGAAGGUGCCCUGGCAAGGACUGAAGCCAGUGGGAAAUUCCCCAGGACUCAUCGGUGCACACAGAACCAGCGAGAGCCUGCUUUCCACAAGCUGUUCCUUCUAUUGUAUCCACUCCACUGACUGAAGAGAAAAUUGGUAACAGCACUCGGGAGGUCAGGGGAAAAAAUUCUCUUCCCUUCAAACCUAGCUUGGUGACCUAAAUCACCUCCUGAGAUUUGCUAGCCUUGAAUUAUAAGAUCUACUCCAUAUUAAAUGACAUCAUUCUUUGUAUUAAUAUAAAAGCAUUUUUUUCCAUACAUUGAUAAAAGCAAAAUGGCUGAUAUCCCAAAAUGACAUUCCUGGAUUCAUUGUUUCAAUAAGAAGUGAAAUUGUUUACACAUGGCAUGAAAAUUUCACCUGUGAUUCAUACUGAAAAAUAUUAAAUAUUAAAAAAAGACCUAUGCGGAAUAGCAUGAAACUGUGUGUCUCUGGGCCAACACACAGUCAGCUGCCUCUCGGGCUUCACAAUGGACGGUGGGUGUUGAGUUGUUUUCAGAGACCACAGUGAAAAAAUUCUCUUAAGUCUGAUUUUAGGCAAAGAAAUGAAAAUGUGGGAACGCCAAGCCUCCACCGAGGCCUUAAGUGUUUGUAGCAUUGCACUACUGUGCUGAGCUAGCACUUCAGAAUUCAACAGGGCAGGGAGGCAAUGGACUGCCGCCUUUACAGCCUCCAUAAAGGAAGAAGCAAGGCUCACAAAGGAACACAGCAUCUCCUUUGCUCAGACUGGAGCCUCUUGAUUACAGCUCCGAGGUCGCCCACCACACGGGUCUGCAGUUUUCAGCAGAGAAUACAGGAGAGAUGUCUGUAUUGUGGGGCUGGCUGACUGAUCACUUUGCAUACACACAGCCUUAGGUUUGGUCCCCAGCACCACGGGAACUGGGCAUGGAAGCAGAGCCCUGUAAUCCUGGCACUCAGGAGGUUGAUGCAGGAGGACCAGAACUUGAGGGCCAUCUUGGGCUAUAUACAGAGUUUAAGGUCAGCCUGGGAUACAUGAGACCUGGUCUCAAGGAAAAAAAAAAAAGGAGCUCCUAUCAUAUAUGUUUCUAUAUAAACUCUGCUUAUUACUAAGUACUACCAAAGAAGUAGUCUAACGUGCCAUUGGUUGCUAGUGAAAGAACCCCAAUGCCUGGUCUCCAGAUCAACUGCUUCUGCCUUUUCUCCCCCACUGCCAUCUUCCUAAAUGCUGCUGCUAACAUUUCCCACUGCCACUCCCCUCAACCCCUUCAGCAGCACUCAUGGUCCUGGGACAGGAGAAUCCAAUUGUCUUGCACUCCUUUUUUUUUUUUUUUUCCAAGACAGAGUUUCUCUGUGUAUCCCUGGCUAGUCACUCUGUAGACCAGGCUGGCUCAAAUUCACCAGAGAUCCCCUGCCUCUGCCUCCUGAGUGCUGGGGUUAAAGGAGUGCGCCACCUGGUUCGCCAUUUCUUCCACUCAAUCUUACCCACUUUCAUUAAAUUCCAGAGUUUGCCCAUACAUACUUUCCUCUCAUUGUCUUCAAUACAUUAAUACUUUUUUUUUUUAAACAAAGUCUCAUGUAGCCCAGGCUGCCCUGAAACUUGCUAUGUAGCCCAGACUGGCCUUGUAUCCCCAAUUUCCUGUUUUUGUCUCCCAUAUGUUUGAUUAUAGGCAUGUGCCACCAUA